rnacentral:rRNA from 1 species
UGAGGAAUAUUGCACAAUGGAGGAAAACUCUGAUGCAGCAACGCCGCGUGGAGGAUGACGCAUUUCGGUGUGUAAACUCCUUUUAAGAGGAAGAUUAUGACGGUACCUCUUGAAUAAGCACCGGCUAACUCCGUGCC